UUUCCGUAGGUGAACCUGCGGAAGGAUCAUUGUCGAAACCUGCAAAAGCAGACCGCGAACACGUUCAACCACAUCGGGACCGCGGCGGGUGGGAAACCUCACGCUGCGUUCCCCCCCUGCACGGUUGCGGGCUAACGAACCCCGGCGCGGCAUGCGCCAAGGAAAACUCAUAGAAGCGUCCGCCCCCCGUCGCCCCGUCCGCGGCGAGCGAGGGGGGACGUCUCUCAAUGUCAAAACGACUCUCGGCAACGGAUAUCUCGGCUCUCGCAUCGAUGAAGAACGUAGCGAAAUGCGAUACUUGGUGUGAAUUGCAGAAUCCCGUGAACCAUCGAGUCUUUGAACGCAAGUUGCGCCCGAAGCCACUCGGCCGAGGGCACGUCUGCCUGGGCGUCACGCAUCGCGUCGCCCCCCCUCCCAUCCCCGGAUAAUGGCCCCCCGUGCGCAGCGUCGUGCGGUCGGCCCAAAUGCGAACCCGCGGCGACUCACGUCACGACCAGUGGUGGUUGAACACUCAACUCUCGUGCUGUCGUGCCGGGCGUCGCACGUCGGGCGUCGUCGUAGACCCAACGGUGCGAGCUGCUCGCGCCUUCGACCGCGACCCCAGGUCAGGCGGGAUUACCCGCUGAGUUUAA
rnacentral:rRNA from 1 species